rnacentral:rRNA from 1 species
UACGAAGGGGGCUAGCGUUGCUCGGAUUUACUGGGCGUAAAGGGCGCGUAGGCGGACAGUUAAGUUGGGGGUGAAAGCCCGGGGGCUCAACCUCGGAAUUGCCUUCAAUACUGGCUGUCUUGAGUACGGGAGAGGUGUGUGGAACUCCGAGUGUAGAGGUGAAAUUCGUAGAUAUUCGGAAGAACACCAGUGGCGAAGGCGACACACUGGCCCGUUACUGACGCUGAGGCGCGAAAGCGUGGGGAGCAAACAGGG